UAAACUAGGAUUGAUCCCUAUUAUUUAAAAUGUAAAUUAAUUGCUAAAGUAGUAAUAGUUAUGUUCUUGAAACUUAAAAAAUUUGGCGGUAUUUUAGUCUAUCCAGAGGAACCUGUUUUGUAAUCGAUAAUCCACGAUGGACCUUACUUAAGUUUGUAAUCAGUUUAUAUACCGUCGUUAUCAGAAUAUUUUAUAAGAAUAAUAAUAUUCAAUAAUUUUAAUAAAAAUUUAUAUCAGAUCAAGGUGUAGCUUAUAUUUAAGUAAUAAUGGGUUACAAUAAAAAUAUUUAUACGGAUAAAAUUAUGAAAAAAUUUUUGAAGGUGGAUUUGGUAGUAAAAUUAUAUAGAUAAAUAAUUUGAUUUUAGCUCUAAAUAUGUACACAUCGCCCGUCGCUCUUAUUAUUAAGGAAGAAAUCGAACUAUAA
rnacentral:rRNA from 1 species